rnacentral:rRNA from 1 species
GUGCUUAACACAUGCAAGUCGAGCGGUAAGGCCCUUUCGGGGGUACACGAGCGGCGAACGGGUGAGUAACACGUGGGUGACCUGCCCUCCACUCUGGGAUAAGCCCGGGAAACUGGGUCUAAUACCGGAUAGGACCACUGAUCGCAUGGUUGGUGGUGGAAAGUUUUUUCGGUGGGGGAUGGGCCCGCGGCCUAUCAGCUUGUUGGUGGGGUGAUGGCCUACCAAGGCGGUGACGGGUAGCCGGCCUGAGAGGGCGACCGGCCACACUGGGACUGAGACACGGCCCAGACUCCUACGGGAGGCAGCAGUGGGGAAUAUUGCGCAAUGGGCGGAAGCCUGACGCAGCGACGCCGCGUGGGGGAUGACGGCCUUCGGGUUGUAAACCUCUUUCGCCAGGGACGAAGAGCAAUUGACGGUACCUGGAGAAGAAGCACCGGCCAACUACGUGCCAGCAGCCGCGGUAACACGUAGGGUGCGAGCGUUGUCCGGAAUUAUUGGGCGUAAAGAGCUCGUAGGCGGUGUGUCGCGUCGGCCGUGAAAACUUGGGGCUUAACUCUGAGCGUGCGGUCGAUACGGGCAUCACUUGAGUUCGGCAGGGGAGACUGGAAUUCCUGGUGUAGCGGUGAAAUGCGCAGAUAUCAGGAGGAACACCGGUGGCGAAGGCGGGUCUCUGGGCCGAUACUGACGCUGAGGAGCGAAAGCGUGGGGAGCGAACAGGAUUAGAUACCCUGGUAGUCCACGCCGUAAACGUUGGGCGCUAGGUGUGGGGACCAUUCCACGGUUUCUGUGCCGCAGCUAACGCAUUAAGCGCCCCGCCUGGGGAGUACGGCCGCAAGGCUAAAACUCAAAGGAAUUGACGGGGCCCGCACAAGCGGCGGAGCAUGUGGAUUAAUUCGAUGCAACGCGAAGAACCUUACCUGGGUUUGACAUGCACCAGACAUCCCUAGAGAUAGGGCUUCCCUUGUGGUUGGUGUGCAGGUGGUGCAUGGCUGUCGUCAGCUCGUGUCGUGAGAUGUUGGGUUAAGUCCCGCAACGAGCGCAACCCUUGUUCCAUGUUGCCAGCACGUAAUGGUGGGGACUCAUGGGAGACUGCCGGGGUCAACUCGGAGGAAGGUGGGGAUGACGUCAAGUCAUCAUGCCCCUUAUGUCCAGGGCUUCACACAUGCUACAAUGGCUCAUACAGAGGGCUGCGAGACCGUGAGGUGGAGCGAAUCCCUUAAAGUGAGUCUCAGUUCGGAUCGGGGUCUGCAACUCGACCCCGUGAAGUUGGAGUCGCUAGUAAUCGCAGAUCAGCAACGCUGCGGUGAAUACGUUCCCGGGCCUUGUACACACCGCCCGUCACGUCACGAAAGUUGGUAACACCCGAAGCCGGCGGCCCAACCCUUGUGGAGGGAGCUGUCGAAGGUGGGACUGGCGAUUGGGACGAAGUCUAACAAGGUAGCCGUACCGGAAGGUGCGGCUGGAUCACCCCUUU